UUUUUUCUCGGGUCUAAGUGCAUUCUACUGGGUUCCACGCCAUGGAACUGAAAACUCCAAGCUCCACCUAGGGAAAGCGACUGUGUGAAGCCACGCUUCAAGUUGCAACCCUUUCCCGCCCCCCUCCGCUCCCACCUAUGAAUGAGCCGCUGACACCCGACACCUCGGGGGAGGAGACAGGGGGAGGGUUCAUUCAUGCCUCCAUUUUGUGAAUGGAAUUCCUGACUCCAUUCAGGAAAGCGGAGGGAGGAGGGGCAGGAGUUCAAGGGCAAGUAACACGAUCCCCUCCGGUCUCCAGCCUUUGAAGCCAGGUCUCCAUGGAGAACUAGGGAACUGAGCCCAGACAGCCUGGCGAGGCCUGGGUCCCUCGGUACUGUGGAUCUGUCUCCUUACCUGUGCUCACCAAGGGGGAAAAAGAAUUACAGCAGAAAGAAGAACAGACACAAAGAAGGACUUCCUGAUUGUCUAAGAUAAUAGUGGGUCUGAAGCAGGACAAUGGAACUCGUGACCCAGGAGACUGGACUGUCACUCCCGGGAGACUGCUCGCAGACUGGACAAUGUCGAAAUUGCAAGAUAAAAGACUCAGACUUCAGAGUGGCUGGUGAGGCGUGUAAGAUGAGGGGUAGGGAACACUCUACACCCAAUCCCAUGUGAGCACACAGGCUCAGAUCUGGGCCACAGGACCCUGUGUUUCCCCAUUCACCAGCUCCAGGUUCUGCAGCCCGCCCAGCUGGCAGGGUGAUCUUUGUACAACAGAAACCAAAUCACUUUGAGCUCUCCCUUAAAAUGUGAAACCUGAACUCCUGCCCUUGGCCUCCUCUCAUCCCUCUGGCCUGCCUCUCCUUGCUGCUGAUAGGCCCUAGCACCUUGGUCUCCUUCAGCCCUCAGUCCUGCUGAGCUGCCCCCUCCCCCCCCCAUCCUCUGUUCUGUUCAGGAUCUCACUAUGUAGCUAGCCCAGGCUGAUCUGAAACUCACUCAGCAUCUUCCUGACUCUGCCUGGAAUGCUGGGAUUGCAGAUGGGCCCCUUGUCAGGCUGAUUAGAGGCCUUCUCUGACCACUCAAAGCAAAACUGUCCCUUUUGGCUUUCUGUCUCAGCUGGCUUUCUCCCCGGCCCCCGCCCCCCCCAUCUUAUUAAUGUAUAUUUACAUGUUAGUGUUCAUCUCUUCACCAGGAAGUUAUUAAGCUGUGUGGACAAGGGCCUUUCCUUCUUCAGAUGACUACCUAGCACUCAGACCAGAAACUGAAUAAUCGUUAUUUAUGAAUAAGCAUCCAAGGGGACUCAUCCUCAGGCUGAGAGGAGCUAGCACCACAGACUCCAAAGGCAGGGCGAUCCUAAGCCAAGCAAUCCUCCCCUUACCCUGCAGCUACUCCUCUCCACAUGCCAGCUACCACCAGCGUUGGCACACCACCGGAAAAGCUCAUCUUACAGGGAUGCUCAAGCUGUGAUCAAAUGCUUGCUUCAAAUGUCAGAGGUACUAAGUGAUUACAGAUAGAGGUUUAUAGUUGAUUUUUACUUAUUUACUUAUUGCAAUGGUUGGGGUUGAAUCAAGGUCCUUAUGAACCCCCAGGCCUUAUUUUCUUUUUGAGACAAGAUCUUACUAGGUACUCCAAGCUGGCCUUAAAUUCUAAAUUCACCAUCCUCCUGCCUCAGCUUUCUAAGGGUUGUUAAUUACAGGCCUAUGCAAGACCAUGUCUGGCUUAGAUGAUUAGUUUUUAGAUAGAGAGACUGGCGUGAGAGAGUUUAAGAACCCGAAGUCUCCAGUAGUU